ensembl:lncRNA
UAGGAGCAGAUUUCAGGAUCAGGACAAGACACCCUCUAUGUGACUGAUGACUGGGAUGAAUGUAGGAGCAGAUUUCAGGAGCAGGACAAGACACCCUCUAUGUGACUGAUGACUGGGAUGAAUGUAGGAGCAGAUUUCAGGAGCAGGACAAGACACCGUCUAUGUGACUGAUGACUGACAUAAGGACAUAAGGUGCUAGGCCUAUCUGGCUUAUAUGAUUAUGAUGGUCAUAAGGCUUCUUGGCAUAACAAAGCAAUUGUUCGGUGUUGAAAAUAGUUUUGCUGUGCUGACGUCAUAGGUACGAGACGGAGUCGCUGUUAGCAUGGCUGUGCUGAGGUCAUAGGUACGAGACGGAGUCGCUGUUAGCAUGGCUGUGCUGACGUCAUAGGUACGAGACGGAGUCGCUGUUAGCAUGGCUGUGCUGACGUCAUAGGUACGAGACGGAGCCGCUGUUAGCAUGGCUGUGCUGAGGUCAUAGGUACGAGACGGAGCCGCUGUUAGCAUGGCUGUGCUGAGGUCAUAGGUACGAGACGGAGCUGAGUACCGUAGAUCAGCACAGCGGUGCUAAAAAAGUUGUUUUGCACACCCUCGAGUGUACAAUAGCUUUCCAACAAAGAAUUACCAAUUAAAUAAAACACAUUACUUUGAUGAAUUUAGUCAUAGUCCCGACACAUCUACGAUUGCUCUAUGUUAGGUUGAGACGCGACCCAGUCGUUAAGUCUUUGUUCUGUAUCUAUGGACGCAACCCAGUCGUUCGUUCUAAAUGUUUCAUUGCCAGCUUUUAUCCCUUGCUUGCUAGCUAGCCAACUUCACAGCUAACACAAUCGCUUCAAACUGAAGCUGGUAAGACAGCAAACUAGCUGCAAUUCAUGUUGUUUGCAUACAGUAUAUCUGUAAAAAAUUAUGCUGGUUCAUGACUUUUACUGGCUGAGAAAAAAUGUCUUGUCCAGACACGUUAAUUGUCAAUAGGAGAUCUAGUGGAGAUCGAAUUUCAAUAUUGAUUUUAUUUUUUAAUUGUCGAGAGACAGACGGCAACGUUUUUACAAACCCCCGUUGUUGCAAACUAAAUGUAGGCUAGAAGCGGAGAGAUAAUGUCUAGAAGCUUUUUACAGAGGAAAAUCAUUUCAUGAAUUGUCUGACUGGGCUGAUGGGACAAUGGAUACAUAGGGAUUUGUCAGAUGGAACAGAAAACAAGAUACCUAUUGUCAUCUGCUUACCUUAAGCUAAACCAUUUGUUUUUGUACGGCUUAGAAUGCAUCUCAACCAAUAAAAAUGCUUGUUUUGACCAACCUGUUUUAGAAAGUGUAUUUUCUUAGUCCAAGCAAAGUGACACAGGAUGGGUCGUAAUGGUUAAUCACAAUAUCAUAAAUUGUAUUUUCUGCAAGUUAUUUAAAAUAUGAUAAAACAUUACUCAUUGCAACAAGAAAGGAUUUUUUAAAGAAACAAACUUUCAAACAAAACUAAUUUGAGUAAAUGAGGGUUUUGACACUUAAGUAGGUAACCAUAACCAGCCAUAAAAUAACCGGGAUUCAUCCGAUGGUAUUGAGGAGUACACCACAUAAGUCACCGGCUUCAUCAAUAAGUGCAUUGAUGACGUCGUCCCCACAGUGACCGUACGUACAUACACCAACCAGAAGCCAUGGAUUACAGGCAACAUCCACACUAAGCUAAAGGGUAGAGUGGCUGCUUCAAGGAGCGGGACUCUUAACCUGGGCGCUUAUAAGAAAUCUCGCUUUGCCCUCCGACGAACCAUCAAACAGGCAAAAAAAUCAAUAUAGGACUAAGAUUGAAUCCUACUACACCGGCUCUGACACUCGUUGGAUGUCGCGAGCUGCCCAGUGACACGAGCCUACCAAAUGAGCUAAAUGACUUCUAUGCUCGCAUCAAGGCAAGCAACACUGAAGCAUGCAUGAGAGCACCAGCUAUUCCGAACGAUUGUGUGAUCACGCUCUCCGUUGCUUGCCUCGAAGCACGCAUAGAAGUCAUUUAGCAGGCUCGUGUGAGAGCGUGAUCACACACUCGUUCGGAAUAGCUGGUGCUCUCAUGCAUGCUUCAGUGUUGCUUGCCUCGAAGCACACAUAGAAGUAAUUUAGCUCAUUUGAUAGGCUUGUGUGAUGUGAUUAAGACAUUUAAACAGGUCAACAUUCACAAGACCGCGGGAUCAGACGGAUUACCAGGACAUGUACUCAGUGCAUGCGCUGACCAACUGAGUCUGUCAUACCAACAUGUUUAAAGCAGACCACAGGCUUGUCAUGACUCAUAACACCAUCAUCCCAGCAAACCUAGACCCACUCCACUUUGCAUACCGCCCAAACAGAUCCACAGAUAACGCAAAUCUCUAUUGCACUCCACACUGCCCUUUCCCACCUGGACAAAAGGAACACCUAAGUGAGAAUGCUGUUCAUUGACUUCAGCUCAGCGUUCAACACCAUAGUGCCCUCAAAGCUCAUCACUAAGCUAAGGACCCUGGGAUUAAACCCUUCCAUCUUCAACUGGAUCCUGGACUGCGUGACGGGCCGUCCCCAGGUGGUAGGCAACAACAUAUUUGCUUUGCUGAUCCUCAACAUAGAGGCCCCUCAGGGGUGCGUGCUUAGUCCCCUCCUGUACUCCCUGUUUACUCGCGACUGCAUGGCCAAG